AAAAACGGCCAUGCCACCCUGAACGUGCCUGAUCCCGUCCGAUCCCGGAAGCUAAGCAGGGUCGGGCCUGGUUAGUAUUUGGAUGGGAGACCGCCUUGGACUACGAGGGGCCGUAGGCA
rnacentral:rRNA from 1 species